AGUUUCAGGAGGGUUUUUGGGCUUCCUCCUUCACGUGGCUGAAGCACAGCCAUGGAGAGGGAAGCCUCUCACAACCUCCUGGGGGUACCUGCAACAGGUGAUGUGAGCAGAGACCUUGGCUUGUGCUGCCUCAGAAUUCUGGCAUGUAAAUAAGUUGUCACUUAACAACAGUGGGAACUGCAACAUUUGGAGUUCUGGGAAAAUCCUCUGCACCCCAAGUAGGCACUGUAGUUAUGUAAAACACACGUAAGAUAUUAAUUCCCUCCAGGAGAUUGUAUUUUGUGUUUUAUGUAUUUUGAGUUUCCCAGGCAGUGGGGAGCAAGAGGGCAUUUGGUUCUGCAAGAUGUUUAACCAGAUCUGAAAACCUCACCAUGGAAGUUUAGGAAGAGGCGAUGUCCCACUGCAGCCAGGUGGAAGGAAGAGCCAGGUGUAGAUCUCCUGUGUUCUAAUGGUACAUUCAGACUGAAAAAUAGCCUCAUCUAAAUACUAAUAUUCAAAUAACAGUCACCACAAAUCCAUUUGUUCCUGCCACAGACUUCAGAAAAAUUGCUGCUUGUCUUCCCUCCCCCACGAGGCUGAAUCCCAGCACCCCAGAUUGUCGUGACUGCCUGGGAUUGGUGACAUCUCCAGUGAAAUGUGUUGGAGCAUCAAAACAGAGUGGGAGAAGCACAGCCUGGCUGUGGAGCCAGAAAUAGGAAUCCCCCAGCACAUCUGAUUCCAGCCAUAUGACCCAACACCUCAGCUGACCCUUUCAGGUAACACACAGAAAGGGCCAGGCUGUGGUGCUGCUGGUUCCUGCCAUGGGCAAAGUUUUCCUCUUGCUUUGAAUUCUCUCAGACCGCUGCCGUCUCACUUCCCCUGGCACAGGAGAAAAUGUGAUGGUGUUUACAGAGCAGAAGCACUGGGACUCAGGAGAUGUGAAAGGUGGCUCUGCUGGCUCUACCUUCAACACCUCUCCAUGGUUCUGACUUCCUGUCAGGAUAACCUGGACUAAAAUCCCUCUGUGCUUCUCCUGUGCGAUCCUACGGUAUCUAACACAACCUCAGACUCUGUCAACGGGGCACUCCAGGAGCUCCACCUUCCUCUCAGCCAUCUCAGGGAACUCAGCUCAGUGUUUGGAAGCUCUGCCUCCAUUUAUGACCUUCCCUGAUUCCAGUGAGGAGCUGGAACUGCUGUUGACCUCAGGAGUGACAGAAGUAUAUGCUGGGGUUGGAGGGUUUCUGGCAUAUGACCUGCUAACCUAGAAUUUGCUUGGCAAAGUCCAGAGGAUGACUUUUAACCUCAGAGCAGUUUGCAAAACCACAUCUGUGACCAAUAAAUGUGAAAAAUAAAUGAAAAAAUAAAUCUAG
rnacentral:lncRNA from 1 species